GCCAGGAAUGGUGGUGCAUGCCUGUAAUCCCAGUGGCUUGGGAGGCUGAGUCAGGAGGAUCAUGAGUUCAAAGCCAGUCUCAGCAACUUAGUGAAGCCCUAAGCAACUCAGUGAGACCCUGUAUCUA
rnacentral:sRNA from 1 species